rnacentral:rRNA from 1 species
AAUGGGUCAGCGACUUAUAUUCUGUAGCAAGGUUAACCGAAUAGGGGAGCCGAAGGGAAACCGAGUCUUAACUGGGCGUUAAGUUGCAGGGUAUAGACCCGAAACCCGGUGAUCUAGCCAUGGGCAGGUUGAAGGUUGGGUAACACUAACUGGAGGACCGAACCGACUAAUGUUGAAAAAUUAGCGGAUGACUUGUGGCUGGGGGUGAAAGGCCAAUCAAACCGGGAGAUAGCUGGUUCUCCCCGAAAGCUAUUUAGGUAGCGCCUCGUGAAUUCAUCUCCGGGGGUAGAGCACUGUUUCGGCAAGGGGGUCAUCCCGACUUACCAACCCGAUGCAAACUGCGAAUACCGGAGAAUGUUAUCACGGGAGACACACGGCGGGUGCUAACGUCCGUCGUGAAGAGGGAAACAACCCAGACCGCCAGCUAAGGUCCCAAAGUCAUGGUUAAGUGGGAAACGAUGUGGGAAGGCCCAGACAGCCAGGAUGUUGGCUUAGAAGCAGCCAUCAUUUAAAGAAAGCGUAAUAGCUCACUGGUCGAGUCGGCCUGCGCGGAAGAUGUAACGGGGCUAAACCAUGCACCGAAGCUGCGGCAGCGACACUAUGUGUUGUUGGG